GGAGCUUGCUCCCGGAUGUUAGCGGCGGACGGGUGAGUAACACGUGGGUAACCUGCCUGUAAGACUGGGAUAACUCCGGGAAACCGGAGCUAAUACCGGAUAGUUCCUUGAACCGCAUGGUUCAAGGAUGAAAGACGGUUUCGGCUGUCACUUACAGAUGGACCCGCGGCGCAUUAGCUAGUUGGUGGGGUAAUGGCUCACCAAGGCGACGAUGCGUAGCCGACCUGAGAGGGUGAUCGGCCACACUGGGACUGAGACACGGCCCAGACUCCUACGGGAGGCAGCAGUAGGGAAUCUUCCGCAAUGGACGAAAGUCUGACGGAGCAACGCCGCGUGAGUGAUGAAGGUUUUCGGAUCGUAAAGCUCUGUUGUUAGGGAAGAACAAGUGCGAGAGUAACUGCUCGCACCUUGACGGUACCUAACCAGAAAGCCACGGCUAACUACGUGCCAGCAGCCGCGGUAAUACGUAGGUGGCAAGCGUUGUCCGGAAUUAUUGGGCGUAAAGGGCUCGCAGGCGGUUUCUUAAGUCUGAUGUGAAAGCCCCCGGCUCAACCGGGGAGGGUCAUUG
rnacentral:rRNA from 1 species